CGCCCCCACCAGCCCGGCGCCCCCUCCAGCCCAGUGCCUCCCCAAGCCCGGUGCCUCCCACCAGCGUGACAAGCCAUGGGUCCCCCACUUCAAGGCCCACAUUUUUUUAUUAGCUGAGGUCGUGGUAGCUGUUGUACCACCUCACUAAGCGCGUCUUUUUCUGUAGUUUUGAUGCUGACGUCUUGCCCAUUCCUGUGCCCCGACCACCCAGCUGCGUGGAGCAGCCCCCACUCUCUGUGGAUAAAAGAACUUUCUUCCUACAAGACGGUCAUUCCUGCGUCUGUGUGUUACCCUCCCUGAUUACAACAAAUCCUAGGCUCAUUUUAAAAAGAUACAGGCCCCACAUUUAGGAGGCUGCAGCCCAAACCUCUGCAGCCAGCAUCCUAUGUCUUCGCUGCAGUUUAUGGCAAGACCCUGGAGACCUGGUGAGAGCACAGCCCUGGUGUCCUCCUCCGUGGCCCCCCUCAUCCCCCUCUGUCAGGUGUGUAGCCCCCACUCCAAGCGUGAUCUUCAGCCCCCGGCCCUGUCCCUCAGCAGCACAGGUGAUAAGCCCCUCCGUCCGGAAGCACUGUCUUUACUUGGCCACCAAGACCCCCAACUUGACCGCACCCCCACUUGCCAGCCAUCCCCUCUGCCCUGCCUGUGCUUCCUACCACUGUGCAGGCCCAGCUUGUGCCCCCCUUGGGGCUGAGCCCCGGCGGGCACCCAUGUCCUCCAGCUGUGAGCACUUUCCUCUAUGGUGUUUGCUCUUCCCUCUGGGACAUGGCCAUGGGGCCCCUCAGAAUGGCACAUAUUGGGCACCACGUGACUUCAGGUAGAAUGACUGAGGGACCAGCCCAGCACAGCCAGGCAGGGCAGCGAGAGGCCGGGCAGGACACCCUCCGACCACUCUGAGGACAGGGAUGGCUGCAGAGCCAAUGCAGGCUCACACGCAGGGACAGACAGCUGGAGGCUGAGCCCAGGCGCAGGACUUCAGAGCCACCAGCCACAACCACACCCAAGGCCAUGGGGUAGACAAGGGCAGUGUGGACUGAGCGGUCAGGGUCCCCAUGAGAUAAACAGGAACCACUCAGAAACACUUCUCUCCUGCCAGGAGCGGUGGCCUACGCCUGUAAUCCCGGCACUUUGGGAGGUAGAGGCAGGCAGAUCACUUGAGCCCAGGAGUUUGGGACCAGCCUGGGCGGCAUGGUGAAACCCUGCGUCUACUAAAAAUGAAAAUACAAAAAUUAGCUGGGCAUGGUGGCACGCGCCUGUAGUCUCAGCCACUCAGGAGGCUGAGAUGGGAGGAUUAGUUGAUCCCGGAAGAUCGAGGCUGCAGUCCCAGCCACUCAGGAGGCUGAGGUGGGAGGAUGACUUGAUCCCGGAAGAUCAAGGCUGCAGUCCCAGCCACUCAGGAGGCUGAGGUGGGAGGAUGACUUGAUCCUGGAAGAUGGAGGCUGCAGUGAGCUGACUGUGCCACUGAGUGACAGAGCAACAUCUUGUCUCAAAAAAAAAAAAAAAAAAAAGAGAAACCCUCCUGUCCAACCAAGGCGGGACUUCAGAGGCCGUAGGACACAUUCCCUGGGCUCCAGGGGGAGGUGCGACCACCACAGGCCCCAGAGGUUGUGAUCCUGACCUGGCCGGAGUCCCAACCAGCCUCAUCCCUCAAGGCAGGGUCAGCCAGGACCAGGUGAAGGAGCCCUGAAGUAGUGCAGAAAGGGAAGCAGAGGCCAGGAAGGCUGAGCCAGCCGGAACAGAAUAGGCAAGCGUAUGAGACACUGCACUUCCAUCUCAUUAAUCGUUUUUUCUUUUUCAUAUAGGGUCUCACUCUGUUGCCCAGGCUGGAGUGCAGUAACAAGAUCAUAGCUCACUUGGCCUCAUAGCCUUGGUCUCCAGGCUCAAGCGAUCCUCCUGUCUCGGCCUCCCUUCUAUGUAGCUGGGACUACAGGCACAUGCCACUACACCCAGCUGCUUUUUUUAUUUUUUGUAGUGGUGGGGCCUCCCUAUGUUGCCCAGGCUGGUCUUGAUCUCCCAGGCUCAUGCAAUCCUCCCAUCCAGGCCUCCCAAAGCGCUGGGAUUACAGGCAUGAGCCACUGCAUCCAGCUGCACCACCUCUUAAUAAACAUUAGUUUUGGCCGGGCACAGUGGUUCAUGCCUGUAAUCCCAGCACUUUGGGAGGCCGAGGCGGGUGGAUCACCUGAGGUCAGGAGUUCAAGACCAGCCUGACCAAUACGAUGAAACCCCAUCUCUACUAAAAAUACAAAAAUUGGCCGGGCAUGGUGGCGCACUGCUGUAAUCCCAGCUACUCAGAAGGCUGAGGCAGGAGAAUCGCUUGAACCCGGGAGGCGGAGGUUGCAGUGAGCCGAAACUGCGCCACUGUACUCCAGCCUGGGUGACAAGAGCAAGACUCUGUCUUAAAAAAAAAAAAAUUUCUAGUUUUGUUGAAGUUUAUUGCACCUUCCAGUAAGCGCACUUGGUCUCACGCGCCAGGUGACCUCUGCUGUUUCCUGUGAGGCCAUCUUCGCCUCUGUCUUCCUGGGAAGCAAACUGCACUGUCCUUACACAGAUGCUGGCUCGUCCAGGGUACAGGAAGUCUAUGGGGACAGAGGGGAUGGGGGUCUUGAGGAUGACUCGGGCUCCUGAAGGCAGGGGAGGGAGGCAGGAGAGUGUCAGAGAGGCAGUGUUGUGAGGACCUCCAUGCCUGCUCUGAGCUGGGGGCCACACAGCCCUGCCUGCCCAUCCAGCUUUAACCCUGUGGACUGGCAACCCCCGACCCACAGAACAAGAGGGCGUGACUUCAGGCGACUCGAGCCACUGCAUGUGUGAUAACAACUAGAGCUGAAGGCCAGGGUCCCAUCCCUGCUCCAUCAUGACGGGCAGCACUAGGGCACCCUGCCGGCUUCCCUCCCGCAGGCCCUGGCCUCUCAGGCCCUCUCCACCGCCAGCAUCAUGGGGGCACACGCGCACCCAGGACUUGGACUGCCCUGAAUUCACGCAUCACAUCGAGAGGUGACAACUCCAUGACAAUAAGCCUGCUUUUGUGCUCGUAAAAAUCAAGUCCCCCAGGCCCGUGAGAGUCCUGGUUCUGUGGCAGUUUAUAAAAAGCAGGGCUUCAAGUGGACUUGCUCCCAGCCCAAGAAGAGCCCUGUCCGGCAGUCGAGGGUUGCUGAGAGCACGGGGGACUUUCAGAGGCUGCAGGUGGAGGAGGGUUGAGGUCUGAGGGCCUGGAACAGAGCUGGAACCAGCAGGUGGAGGUGGCAGGAGCCCUUAGGAGGAGCUGGCGGAGGGGCCGGAGGGUGGCGCAGGCCAGGGAGCAUUUGCACAAAUCCUGGUGGCCCACAGGAGGCCCAGCUGCAUGAGAGGGUCAGAGAGGUGCUCCUGAAAGGGAGGCCUUGCUGGCCACGGCCAGGUCUUGCCGGUGCUCCUGGGUCCCAUGCACCGGAAUGGGAAGGCAGGCGGUCUAGGCGUGUCCACCCCUGGGACCAAGGAGGCCCAGACAGGCUGAGACUGGAGCUGGAGCCCCAGGUGUGUGCUGUCACUCAGGCACAUGCCCCAGUGAGAGCAUGUUCUGGCAGGGGGAAUGGACGUGGCCUCGGGGCAGGGCCGGCAGGAGCCUGGAGGUGGCCCCACAAGCCCCAUCGUCUGCCCACCUCAGGUCAGAGUCCGACAGCCCCAGAAGAGAGGGGAGCCCGGCAAGGCAGGCAGGGCUGGAGCAGAGCCCCGGGCUCCCAUCCGGCGCACCCACCAGGCACAGCCUUGGCCGGAGG
rnacentral:lncRNA from 10 species